AGGAUGAACGCUGGCGGCGUGCCUAAUACAUGCAAGUCGAACGAGGUGCUUUGUAGCAAUACGAGAGUAUCCUAGUGGCGAACGGGUGAGUAACGCGUUGGUGACCUACCCCAAAGUGUGGGAUAACAGUCCGAAAGGAUUGCUAAUACCGCAUGUGGUUAUUGGAUUUAGAAACCGGUAACUAAAGGAGCAAUUCGCUUUGGGAGGGACCUGCGUCCCAUCAGCUAGUUGGUGAGGUAAUGGCUCACCAAGGCUACGACGGGUAGGGGACCUGAGAGGGUGACCCCCGACAAUGGAACUGAAACACGGUCCAUACACCUACGGGUGGCAGCAGUAGGGAAUAUUGCACAAUGGGCGAAAGCCUGAUGCAGCAACGCCGCGUGUGUGAUGAAGGCCUUCGGGUCGUAAAGCACUUUCAGCGCAGACGAAGCGAAAGUGACGGUAUGCGCAGAAGAAGCACCGGCCAACUACGUGCCAGCAGCCGCGGU
rnacentral:rRNA from 1 species